UUUUGCCUUUCUACUCAAAUAUUUCUCUGAAAUUCUUCAAUUUCACUUGAGUUUCAACUUUUAAAAUCUGUGUUUUGAUUCUUUUUUGUUCAUAGGAAGAUACCCUUUUGGCUUUCUUGGUUGUGGGAUUGUUGGUUGAGCUGAACAUUUGAGGAAGCCUUGAAGAGAGAAAUGUCGGGAGGAGGUACUCAGAACAGCUUAAGAAAAACCCUUGGAUCACUCAAGGAUACUACCACUGUCAGUUUAGCUAAAAUUAAUAGUAGCUAUAAGGAAUUGGAUAUUGCUAUAGUUAAGGCAACAAAUCAUGUUGAACAUCCAGCAAAGGAGAAGUACAUAAGAGCCAUUUUUUCUGCCAUCUCGGCUACCAGACCUCGAGCUGAUGUUGCAUACUGCAUUCAUGCUCUUGCGAGAAGGUUGUCAAAGACACAUAAUUGGGCGGUUGCUCUAAAAACAUUGAUAGUCAUUCACCGUGCUUUAAGAGAG
rnacentral:misc_RNA from 1 species